UCAGAGGAGGGCUAUUACUGUCUCCUGCCAAACUUUUGUUUGUUCUCUGUUUUUGCUCAAGUACUGACUAAUCUGUUCAGCAUGAACUGAAUCAGAAAAAGGCCACAAAUAGAAGAAAAAAAAAGCAUGAGAAGGAAAAGAGAAAGAAAACAAAAAAACUUUGGUCAAAGAGAUUACAGAAAGAGGUUAAAAUGAAACAACAGAAAGAAGUGGUACUCAGAAAAAUGUCCAGAUAGAGUCAGACACAGCAGAUAAAGGUGGCUGAGGUCAAAGGGGUAGAGGUUAAUACAGACUAGAGGACUAAACACAUCAGGGAGUUUCUCCUAAAAAGGAGAGAUCAUUAUAAAGGCAGCAUAGACAAAAGACUUCCUUUUUAUUCUUGGACUGCUUUCAGGAAACUGUGUUAGAAGAUUUUUACAGAAAGGGAUGAACUAGUAUGAGAGAGAGUAACAAAAGCUGAAUUCCAAACAAGUGAAAACACAUAAUCUUUCCAAGUGGUAGCAUGUUUGUGUUCUCAAUUUUUUGCCUAAUGUUCUAUUUAUCGCACAGAGGCAGAUGGUGUGUCCUUGAAGAACUGUAAAGCAAUUAUGAAAUGCAUUGUUUCACAGGGUUUAAAUCAAAUGAUUAUUUUCAAUAGAGCCUUGAUACCUCUGCUCUGAUUUCCUUGACUUGAUUAUAUUGAAGACAGAGAUUGUUCUCCUGGGAUAGCUGGAAAAUUUCCCAGAGAUCAAGAAAACAGACUUUUCUUUGCCCUACCUGACCUUUGUACCUUCCUUGCACUAGAUUUGAACCCAAGACCAUUUCACUCAAAGGCAGCAACUCUAACCACCCUACCACAGGCCUGCCUGCCUGGAUUUGAACAUGAUAACUUAAAGCCAGAAACAGAAGUUGUCCAUAAUCCCACAGGACUGCUUGACGGUGUUUGCUUUUGAAGGUCUUUUGAUGUCCCCAUUUAAUAAUGAUAGUUCAAAAGCAACGUUAAACUACAGUGUAAGGAUAGCAUUUCUUUGCUGGCUCAUUAUAGAAAACACUUGAAUUAAAAACCCAGAAACUUUGCAUUGAGAGGCAGCAGUCUUCAUCACUACACGCAAGGGAUUGCUUGGCAGAGGGUGCUUCUGUUGACCUUUUCAUUUCACGUUUAGUUAUGGCUAUCAAAAAGGGCAACACACCUCUUUAUUGUUUAACAUUGAAAGUUCUUGUGCUGGAUGUAAUGUUUUAUGCUAUGAUAGUAUUUAUUGAGUCAAAUAUUCUUUGCUGUGAAAGUCUUAACCAAUAAAAAUGAAAGAAAAAAAAAUUCUAUUUAAGUCUAUGGAGGGCCCCAUUCCUUCACUGGGGCCCUGGAAAAAAAAGGUUUUCAAUGUGUUCCUUGGUGCUGAGUAAUAUGCAGAUGUACAGCUCAUACAGUUACCCGUUGUUAGCUGUUGUUUACAAUUGUCAGCUGCUGUUAGCCAUUAUCAGUUGUUGUUAGCGAUACCGGUUGUAAACAACGCAUAACACAUUAUUUUACUCUUACAAACACCAUAGCACCGUGUUCACAGUUAGACGUUGGGCAGUAAAACGUAUCCCACUUAUUUAAUUUCACAAAAAUAAAACAGAAGUGCUAAUAAAUAAUAUGUUACGAGAACUUUCACUGUUACCCUUUACUGUUGGUGCAUUGCGCUGCCAUCUUAGAUAAUGACGUUGUCAAGUCGGGGUUGGCAAAGAUCGUCCGACUUUCCGAGUCGGAAUCCAACUUCAGGGGGGCGUUCCAGAUAAAUUUCUGUCUAGGAGCUAAGAAAUUCUGACUUCCGAGUACAACUGGAAUGCAGCAUUACAUACCUGAUAACUGCCCAUCAAAAUUACAUUAAAGGCACUCUUGGAGAUAGCUUCAUGUUGGUGAUGUCCUUGAUAUCACAUCUUACAUUGCUGUUAAUGAAUCAGCUGUGCUAUCCAAACUGAGGUUUUAAUAAUGCGAAAAGGUUUUAUUUCUUCAAUACUAAAGUUAUUCUGACACAAACAGACAGAGUGCUGAGAUAAACUUCUAACCGAGCUCAGUACAUACCCAUGUUUAUUCAGAGGGCCCAUUCUCAUAACAUGUUUGCUUUUGUGGUACUGAAAGAUAUUUUUACUCUGGAACUGUGAGGUUUUACUGUUUGUCACCAGAGUCUACAGCAAACUUGACCACAAUCCUGUCAACUCAAAUGUUUUGCGUGAGUAGCUCUGAUACAGGAAUAUUUGGUGCCUUCACUGAGAGAGUGGGUCUAAAAAAAUAAACAUGACCCUGUUUCAAAGAUGUAUUACUCUCUUAUUUCAUCACCUCUCAUUCCUGAAAAGAUAAAAGUUGGUGAGGUGACAGAUGUGGUUCGUUUAUCAUUAAUCAUGUCAGGAGCUCUGCUGCGCUGCUUCUUUUGUUUACUGACUGAGUAAACAACUUUUAGGAUUUAUAAUUUACUCUCUAACUUUGAGAUCUUGUCAGCUAUUGUUUAUUAUACUGUGGUAAAGUGCUGUAUGACUGAUUAAUGUCACCACAGAGGACAGAUCAAUAAUCAAUGGAUGUGUUUAUCAACUGACUCAAAAAAUCUAUUUUGAAAAAGAGGGGAAAAAGUGAAGGACUGUUGACCAUAAAUGACAUGAUGGUUGAGACUGGUUUAAAUGAAAGGAAAAUAUUAUUUGUGGCGAACUAACUCAAAGCAAGGAAAUUCAGUUCAGCACUGUAGGGAAGUAAACACUGUUACUCUGAGGACAAAGAUUACUACUUGAGUGUAAAGGGGAACUGGACAAAACCAGACUUGUAGAGGUUGAGCUCUUAGUUGGAGCUGAUCACUCAAAAUCAAUCUGCAAAUGUGGGGGACAGAUGUGAACUAAUGUGAGCAAACAAUACACUAUGACCACUCUGUAUUUGCUCUAAACAUCUCCCAAUAAUGAUUUUAAGGGCCUGUGUCCACAUGUGGCAUCUUGUUGACCUUGAAGCACCUCUUUCCAAUACAAACCAAUGCAACUCCUGUUUUCAGCCCCCAUUACACUACAAAACAAAAACAACCUUGGGACGGGGCUGGGAAAUUACUAUAAAGUUUUUUUUUUCUUUUUAACUGGCUGUUUUUGUUGUUUCGGUCACAAUACUAUCAGUCAAAAAAAAGUCCAACUUUUCAAUCAACCUCAUGCUUUUCAGUCUCACUUCUCUGUCGCUGCUCCAUCACCAACCAGUGAAACUGAAGGUGACAUUUCUGAUAUCAACUUUGUAAACAAAAAUUGCAGAGGAAGCUUUAACUUGUUUCUUAAAGGGUGCAGUUUCCAGCUAAUAUUAUGACAUAGUUACUGUUUAUUUCUUGAACAUUUUUUAUGAUGAAAUUACAUUGCAUACACAACCAGACUUAACAAGUCCACAGAGAAGUGGAAGUGCUGCGGGAAAAUUCUUGUAACCUAGUAACAAAACAUCAGAGAGGCGCCCUGAAACGGAGAUCAUGGAUGAUACUGAUGCAUUAAAUGUCAUAAGUGGACACAGGUCCUAAAAUAUACAGAUCCCUGUUUACACCUUUUUUUUUUUUUAUCUCAAUCCCAAAACUUUGACUGUUCAAAUGUUUCUACUGCUGAUUAUUAGUCACCUACAGUUGAGAGGCUAUUUUUACAAAUCUUGUCAGGGCUUAGAUUAAAAGUGUGGAAACUCUGACCCAUCUCUGGUCUUACUGCAGAGGAAUGAACCCUACUGCCAUACAGGGGCAAAACAGGGGCAAGUAUUCGCCUCGAGGAUAAAAGAAGUGACCUUAUGUCUGACUGCAUGCUAAGCUUGACCCUGAAAAUGUGAAUGAGGAAGCUGAUGUAAUGCCUCCUACUACAGAAAUAGUUACCACCCUGCUGUUGGGCAAGGCCAUGGACAGAGCCCUAACCGCUCCAGUGACUACACUGAAGAGAUGGCUCCAUUUAAAGUCCUUUAAAAGCUAUCUAAAAAUUAAAGAAUUCAGUAAAAUGAGCUUUCAUUGUGUCUUCAGAGGAGAGCUGUAUAAUGGAAAAAUAUAUUGGUACAGGAGAAGUGAAUUUUUCUACUAAAGGCUGCAACACAACAGACUUACAAUGGGCAGGAUGUGCAACAUUUUGGAUCAAGAAAUGUCAUAGCUUUAGGCCUAAAUUAUAAUCUGUUCGGCUAAACUACAAGAGCCUCACAAGUCCAGUAAGUGAAACGUCCUUUCAGUGUGAUUAUCAGGUUAGAACUAAUACUACACUCAGUGCAGUCAGUCAGGUAGGACACUGGUUAAGGCGUCUGAGUGAGGUAGUGGAAAAAGCAGCAGAGAUAUGACUGGUGAGAAAAUCCUUCCUUGAAGAAAUCAGCAUGAAUAUUUUUAGCAAGUUCAUCUUCACGACAUUUUUACAAAGCCCUCAAGCAACUGUCGUUAUUAUGACAGAAAACACAAGAAGUCAAACAGCUGGAUCGAGAGGAGUUGGGGGAGAAUUAAUGAGUCAACAAUGAACAGUCAAUAUUGUUCAACUAACCACAUGAUUAUGUCUGUAAACAUGAUGAAUUUUAAGCUCUCUCAUGUUCACCUAAAUACACAAGCUUUCUCUCUUUUCGGUGCAACUUUCCACCUGCUACAAGAUGAUACGGUACAAUGUUAUAAUGUCAUUUAGCAGAUGCUUUUAUCCAAAGUGUCGUACAUCUGCAGACAAUACAGAUAAUAAUUUUGUUCAGUUAGAAAAUGAAAAUUUUUAUGGCAUUCAACACAUUCUUAUGGCAGCCAUUUUUCUUUGGUUUCAUACAAAGUAGCUGAGAUGCUGGUUGCUAAUCCCAAAGGUAUUUGACAAUCUGCAGCAUGCUAACCUUUCACAAUAGACUGUAUAUGGGCAUAGUCUUAAACACAUAACUUACUGGUUUCUAAGGAGAGCUAAGACACCCAUAUAUGAUGUUCUUCAUACUGGAAGUGUUGACUCAGACUAUGUUACUACUAAUCUAGAAACUAGGGAUUUUUUUAAAUGACUAAUUUCCUACUUACUAGAAAAGAUAAACAGACUUUUCUCACCAUAAAAGUAAGAAAACAUUCAGGAAAAAAAGCCAAAAUUUAGUACAAGUGACUUCACACUGCCAAACACAGACUACAGAGUCUGUGGGUAAACUGUGUAAGAUUGGUUAGCUCAGUGUGGCUCAAGUUUACAGAGAUAGCACCACCAGCUUUCUGUACUCCUCCCUGGUUGAUGUCUAAGUCCAUGCCUUUGCUUAUACAUAUUUCUGGACGACACAGCAAACAGACAAGACUAUCUUCAUUUUUAGAUGACAAUACUGACCAAUUAUACAGUGACAUAAGAUGCCAUCUUUCAUCUGCGCUUGGUAGCAGAGCAUUAAAAAAUGGAGAUGGUUGUACUACAGCUUAAACACAACAUGUGAGUGGCUAUUUAGGCCCGGAUAACAACCAUUCUUUUAAUCAACGAGUAAUUCUAACACCUACUUGGAAGAGAGAGAAUGUUUAAAUAUUUACUCAGCUAAAACAGGUGCAACCCUUCCAAAAAUUAGUAAAGAGGAGAUGUUGGGGCCAUGGCCUUGCUGUGUAACAAACAGCAACAAAACGCCCAUCCGUCAGUCAAAUCAACCAAUCCCUUAAUUACUCCACAGUACGCACAACUCCUAGCCUCAAUAUGACAAAAUUUGUGAGUUAUAAGAAAAAUAAACUCUGGCACAGUUGUAGCCAUUUUAAAAAGCCCCAGACUAAUACAGUUUAUUCAUACCAGCAGUAUAAAUGUGGACAUUUAACUAUGCUUUGUAAUGGUAUUUAGAGCCAGCCUCAUGUAGACAUGGGGGACCUUAUAGCUUAACUGGUCAUUAAAUAGCUUUUUUGUGUCUGUUUUAAAAAUAGACAACAAAAAAAAAAGAAAAAAAAAUCGACAAGAAAUAUUUUAAGCCACCUGAGAGGAUACAUGCUUUAGAGCUGUUGUGAGUACCUUUUAGUUUGUGUUGGUUUUGGUGCCUCCCAUGGACAAAGUGAUACCUUUUGAGGCUUGUACACAUGAGAGUGGUCUUUUCAGACAAAACCUCAUCCUGUUGUUUUUAUCAAUAACAGGUAUCACUAAAGAUCCUUACACACCGGGAACAACGCAGAUAUACGACACAAAAUUACAAAAUAUUCAGAGGCUUAUUUUGACGCGCCUGACUAUACACAUCAAGCGCGAUGUGAUUUUGCCACUUCCCAUGGGGAAAAAAGACACAUCCCGGGUGGAAGCGAGAAGACUGACACAACACCAGUUGUUAAAACAAAGAUGUUUAGCAAACUGUUAAAGCACACAAACCAUCGUCUUAUGAGAAAUCCGACACUAUGACUCUCCACAAGUUGUCCUUCAGGUCGUUAUCUUUGUAAUAUUUGUGUCUUUAUCAAAAAGCACUCUGUUCUCCGACAAGUAAACAAUCAGCCGGUCGGCCAUGUUGUAUAUACCGGUGAAUCUGAUGUUGCAACAACACGAAAUCUGAUUGGUCAGAAGUGGACACACAGUAUGCGAAACUUUAGAAAAAUCGACUGAGAUAUGAAAAAAUAAAUGCUGCAAUAUCACAGGACGGGAAAACGUUGCUGAUGUGAACACUUGUAUUGACAGGCUACGGGUUUGAAAAAAAAUAUUGAUGAUGAUUCUCUAUUUUGAUUCUUUUAAAAGGCAGGAUAUUUAAAAAAAACAACAACAACAUGGUUUAAAUUAAAUUGCUAACCAGAGUUCUUUUUUUUGGAUGAAAUCUGUGAACUUCUCCAUGAAUUUUUAAAUUAUAUUAACUUUUUAAAAACUUUACUUUGAAUUUCUCACAGGGAUUUUUUCAACCAGUGUAUAAAUAUUAAUAUUUGUUGUCAGGUCGUUUGUCUAUGAAAAAGUACAAGGGCUAAUGUUACUUGGAUAUUUAAGUUGACACACAGUACAAUUUGUUUGCCGCUUCAAAGUUAGCGGAAGACAGAAGUAAUUGAUUGUUUCACUUAUCUGAUUCUGGCUGGUUCACAGAAGUCCUGCCAAGCGCGUCAAAGACGAGCACUCAGGUGUUUCUCCUCCGUGAAUCCUGAGGUGUUUAAUCAUGUUGGUCGUUCACCCUCUUUUGCAUGAUAUUACUGUGUUGCUAAUGUUGCACUGAGAUAAGAGUUCAUUCUUCCUGCUGAAGUUAGCCAAACUUUUGACCGUAGCCGCUGCGGGUCGCGAUGCUCUGUCUGUCUUCUCUCUUCUAGCUUCAUCUCACUCACUUCGGCGGCUUCUUCUUCGUUGGUGUUAAGCGCGUCUUCCUCGUUGGUGUUCGGCGGCUAUUUCUUCCGGUCGGCGGACGCCGGCAGAAAAUUUAAAAUUUGAACAGUUCCGGGAGAAUCGGAACGUUAGUCCCGGUCCCCAUCGACUCUCGUACCCGACCCUAGAUGCAAGG